GAUGAACGCUGGCGGCGUGCCUAAUACAUGCAAGUCGAGCGAACAGACGAGGAGCUUGCUCCUCUGACGUUAGCGGCGGACGGGUGAGUAACACGUGGAUAACCUACCUAUAAGACUGGGAUAACUUCGGGAAACCGGAGCUAAUACCGGAUAAUAUAUUGAACCGCAUGGUUCAAUAGUGAAAGACGGCUUUGCUGUCACUUAUAGAUGGAUCCGCGCCGCAUUAGCUAGUUGGUAAGGUAACGGCUCACCAAGGCAACGAUGCGUAGCCGACCUGAGAGGAUGAUCGGCCACACUGGAACUGAGACACGGUCCAGACUCCUACGGGAGGCAGCAGUAGGGAAUCUUGCGCAAUGGGCGAAAGCCUGACGGAGCAACGCCGCGUGAGUGAAGAAGGUCUUCGGAUCGUAAAGCUCUGUUAUUAGGGAAGAACAGAUGUGUAAGAAACUAUGCACGUAUUGACGUUACCUACUGAGAAAGCAACGGCUAACUACGUG
rnacentral:rRNA from 1 species